rnacentral:rRNA from 1 species
GACGUAGGGUCCAAGCGUUGUCCGGAUUUACUGGGCGUAAAGAGCGCGUAGGCGGUCUGUUAAGUGUAGAGUGAAAUCUCCAGGGCUCAACCCGGAAACUGCUCUGCAUACUGGCAGACUGGAGUGAUGCAGAGGUUUGUGGAAUUCCUGGUGUAACGGUGAAAUGUGCUGAUAUCAGGAGGAACACCCAUGGCGAAGGCCAGCAAACUGGGCAUUAACAUGA